GACGAACGCUGGCGGCAAGCUUAACACAUGCAAGUCGAACGCCGUAGCAAUACGGAGUGGCCGACGGGUGAGUAACGCGUGGGAACGUGCCUUUCGGUUCGGAACAACUGAGGGAAACUUCAGCUAAAACCGGAUACGCCCUUCGGGGGAAAGUUUACGCCGAAAGAUCGGCCCGCGUCAGAUUAGCUAGUUGGUGGGGUAACGGCCUACCAAGGCGACGAUCUGUAGCUGUUCUGAGAGGAAGAUCAGCCACACUGGGACUGAGACACGGCCCAGACUCCUACGGGAGGCAGCAGUGGGGAAUAUUGGACAAUGGGCGCAAGCCUGAUCCAGCUAUGCCGCGUGGAUGAAGAAGGCCUUCGGGUUGUAAAGUCCUUUCGGUGGUGAAGAUAAUGACGGUAACCACAGAAGAAGCCCCGGCUAAUUUCGUGCCAGCCGCCGCAGUAAUAC
rnacentral:rRNA from 1 species